GAGUUUGAUUCUGGCUCAGGAUAAACGCUGGCGGCGCACAUAAGACAUGCAAGUCGAACGGACUGAUUUGAGAACUUGUUCUUAAUGAAGUUAGUGGCGGACUGGUGAGUAACACGUAAGCAACCUACCUAUCAGAGGGGAAUAACAGUGAGAAAUCACUGCUAAUACCGCAUACCUUGAUUAUAACACACGUUAAAAACAAGAAAGAAGCAAUUCGCUGAUAGAUGGGCUUGCGUCUGAUUAGCUAGUUGGUAGGGUAAUGGCCUACCAAGGCGACGAUCAGUAGCCGGACUGAGAGGUUGAACGGCCACAUUGGGACUGAGAUACGGCCCAGACUCCUACGGGAGGCAGCAGUCGGGAAUAUUGCGCAAUGGAGGAAACUCUGACGCAGUGACGCCGCGUGCAGGAAGAAGGUUUUCGGAUUGUAAACUGCUUUUAACAGGAAAGAAACAAAUGACGGUACCUGUUGAAUAAGCUCCGGCUAACUACGUGCCAGCAGCCGCGGUAAUACGUAGGGAGCGAGCGUUAUCCGGAUUUAUUGGGUGUAAAGGGUGCGUAGACGGAACAACAAGUUAGUUGUGAAAUACCCCGGCUUAACUGGGAAACUGCAACUAAAACUGUUAUUCUUGAGUAUCGGAGGGGGUUAUGGAAUUCCUAGUGUAGCGGUGAAAUGCGUAGAGAUUAGGAGGAACACCGGUGGCGAAGGCGAUAACCUGGACGAAUACUGACGUUGAGGCACGAAAGUGUGGGGAGCAAACAGGAUUAGAUACCCUGGUAGUCCACACCGUAAACGAUGGAUACUAGAUGUUGGGGAUGAAUAAUCUUCGGUGUCGGCGCUAACGCAAUAAGUAUCCCACCUGGGGAGUACGACCGCAAGGUUGAAACUCAAAGGAAUUGACGGGGGCCCGCACAAGCAGUGGAGUAUGUGGUUUAAUUCGAAGAUACGCGAAGAAUCUUACCAAGGUUUGACAUACAGAGGAAUAUAGUGGAAACAUUAUAGCUCUUCGGAGUCUCUGUACAGGCGAUGCAUGGUUGUCGUCAGCUCGUGUCGUGAGAUGUUCGGUUAAGUCCGGCAACGAGCGCAACCCCUAUUUCUAGUUGCCAGCAUGUAAAGAUGGGAACUCUAGAAAGACUGUCGAUGUAAAUCGGAGGAAGGUGGGGAUGACGUCAAAUCAUCAUGUCCCUUAUAUCUUGGGCUACACACGUACUACAAUGGCCGUAACAGAGAGAAGCAAUACAGCGAUGUAAAGCAAAACUCAAAAAGCGGUCUCAGUUCGGAUUGUAGGCUGAAACUCGCCUACAUGAAGUCGGAAUUGCUAGUAAUGGCAGGUCAGAAUACUGCCGUGAAUACGUUCCCGGGCCUUGUACACACCGCCCGUCACACCAUGAGAGUUGGAAAUACCCGAAGCCUGUAAGCUAACAGUUAAACGAGGCAGCAGUCGAAGGUAGAGCCAAUGAUUGGGGUGAAGUCGUAACAAGGUA
rnacentral:rRNA from 1 species